rnacentral:lncRNA from 1 species
GUGCUUCAGCCUUUUAUGAGUAGGCAUUAAAUUACAUGAAUCUCCCUGUGCUGAGUCUGUUUUACCCAUGACAGUAAUUGGUGAGUGAUCUUCCUGUCCUUAUCUCAAUCCAUGAGCUCUUUUUCAUUGCAUUUUCUCCCUCUGUCUUUUUCAGGUAGGGGACUAAGAAAGCACUAUGGUAGGGCUGAACUGCCCGACUGUGUGAAACAGCUACAAGCACUUUUGGAGCUGAUGUGUUACAGACACUUUCACAGACAAGAGCUGUUUUUGACUGAGACUGGAGCCAGAAGAGACCGAGAUGGACAGAAACUGUUCUAAAAAAUGUGAGUGGCAUUUUAGUAGACAACACAAAAGUCAUUGACAUAUGAAUCACUCCUCAAGAACAGACAGCCACCCAAACGAGAAGCUUAACUCCUCGACAGCAAAAGUUAAACACAAUAAAUACCUCACUACUUGUCUGUAUAUGUUCA